UUUUUCUUUAAUCUUUCUCAGUCUUGGGAUGUCUAUUAAUAGUAUUCUUUUGGGAUAGGGAGGAGACAAGAUUUAUUCUGUCCAUUUCAGAGAUGAGUAAACUGAGGCAUGGAACUUUUGGGGGCCCAGAAUUGAAAGUACGCUUGAGAUGAGGGCAUAGGCUCUCUGCCCCCUCCUGGCCACUCCUGCCUGUUGGCUCUCUGCUGUCUCUGACCUCACUGCUGACUCCUCUGUGGCCAGGGCUGGAGAGUGUUGGAGCUGCUGCUUGAUGUUUCUGACAUGAGAUUUUUCCAGGCGGUCUGGAAACAAGUCCUCUCCACCUUCCAUUGCUCCACUGGCCCUGGAUUCAGCAGAUCUCAGUGAAGAGAAGGGGUCUGUCCAGGUGGACUCCACCCUGCAGGGAGACAUGAGGCACAUGACCCUGGAGGGGGAAGAGGAGAAUGGGGAGGUUCACCAGGCAUGUGAAGACAAGUCUCCCUCAGAAGCCCCAGAAGACACCAGCACCGGGGGCCUGAACCAAGACUCCACAGAUAGCAAAACGCUUCAAGGUAUAACUCUAGGAGGAGAAGAGCCCAUCUCCCCACCUCUCAAUUUAGGAGGCUGACAAGCUCCACUCCACUGCUGACUAGAAUGGCCCUCAAGCUCCUGGGGGAGGAGGGGAAGGUCCUUAUUUUCUGUGAGGGUGGCACAGCAGCCCUUUCACAUCUUGUUUUGAAUCCCAGGAAGUCACGUCUUCCUGGGAGCUAAUCUGCCCUGGCAUUUGCCUGUUUUCAGCUACAAAGCCCUCCAAGGUUUCUUCUGGCUCAGUUUCUCUGGGUGAACACUCCUAGCUUGGUGGGACUUUGUGGCUUGACUCCUUCUCUGGGGUCAACCCUCUUUAAAGGCUCAGUGCUCAAGAGAGGCUGGGAGCUUUGGUACCUGGGAAUGGGUUCCUUUCAGAGCCAAGCAGGUGAGGUAGGGAUGAAGCUGGGGGUCGUUUUCUUGUACCAGGUGUUCUGUAUCCCUCAGGAAGGAUGUGGCUCUUGUCUUUUCCCUGCAGAGCAAAUGGAUGAGCUGUUACAGCAAUGCUUCUUACAUGCCUUGAAGUGCCGAGUCAAAAAGGCUGACCUCCCUUUACUCACCAGCACUUUCCUUGGCAGCCACAUGUUCUCCUGCUGGUAUGGAAAGCACUGAUGUGGGCUGGAGGCCGGGGCCGGGGUCUCACGUGUGCUCCUUGGUAGUAGGACAGGAUGGGGCCAAUGCAGGGACUGGUUGAGGGACAUGCUGUGGAAGGAGUGGAGGGGAAGGCUUAUCUGACAAGUACAUUAGUUCCUGGGUUCUAAAAAGUUAAUUCUUAGCUUGCUGGGCUGUUAAAACAAAAUCUUAAAUUUUAGCCAAUGAAAGGAUAUUGAGGACCAGAAAGUUAAAAUUCCUGAGAUUCCGUGAACACUGCCUCUGCCGUAGGGGUUCUGGGCAACCUCACAAAUCGGGCAGCGUGUCCUGUGCAGGAAGUGUCCCAGGGCACCUCUUUGUCAGGAAGCUUCUUCUGGAACAUUCAACCUCCUCACACUUCUGAAAAGUAUGUCGGGGGCCACAUUAGGUUUUAUUAGGUUAUUGCGUGUGGAUAGAACCUGGAUUUUGAAGACAGAGCCAUCUGGACUCAACUGCUAGGUCUCCAGGGUGUUCGAGCAAUGUGCAUUUUAGCUUGUUACUGGGCUUCUCUGAGUCCUAAUUUCUAAUAAUCAUGGGAUUGCUGUAAAGAUUACAUAGCCUGAACCAUAAUAAGCAUUCAGUAAAUACUAUCGUGUCAGGAGGUUUGCUUAUUGAUUUUUACCCUGAGAUUGAAUUUAUUUAUUUAUUUAUUUAUUUGUUGUUUUGAGACACAGUUUCACUCUGUCACCCAGGCUGGAGUGCAGUGGCGUGAUCUCGGCUCACUGCAACCCCUGCCUCCCAGGUUCAAGAGAUUCUCCUGCCUCGGCCUUCCCGAGUAGCUGGGAUUACAGGCACAUGCCACCAUGCCCAGCUAAUUUUUGUAUUUUUAGUAGAGAUGGGGUAUCACCAUGUUGCCCAGGCUGGUCUUGAACUCCUAACCUCAAGUGAUCCGCCUGCCUCGGCCUCCCGUAGUGCUGGGAUUACAGGCGUGACCCACUGUGGCCGGCCUGAAUUUAUUUCUUUUUGAGAAUCUGGCUGUGAUUUUUUUAAAAAGUGAUUCUUAAUGUAAUGUCUUCCCAUUUAUACUUGGGUGUCUUUAAGCUAUCCUGUACAAAUGUGGUGUCUGGAGUGUGUGGAGGGAUACUUGGUAAUCUGUCCUGACUUUCUUGGGUUGCAAAUACAUGGUAAAGGGGCCCCAGAAUAUUCUGUAGGAUAGGAUCCUGGGGUGGAUUCUAGAAGGACUCCUCGAGAAUCCACAGCUACUGCGUGUCAUGUUUUGAGAGAAGAUGUAAGCUUUUAUCAGGAAUGUCCCCUCCAAAACUAAUUGCUGUAGUGCAGGGGUCAGCAUGUUUUUCUGUAAAGGACCAGAUAGUAAAUAUGAAUAUUUUCAGUUUUGCAGGCCAUACCAUCUCUGUUGCAACUACUCGAUGCUGCCAUUGUAGCACUAAUGUGACCAUAGACAGUAGAUAAUUAGUUGGCCAAACCUGACCCCAGGAUGUGGCUUGCUGGGCCCACUCCAGGCCUGGCUGCCCGCAGUGUGAGUUUGCUGUUGCAACUUUGGAGGCCACAGAAGGUUGUCUGGUCUGGGAGGAAUCUAAGGCUGUAUCCAAUGCGGUAGCCACUGGCCACAUGUCACUAUUUUCAGUUUAAAUUAAUUUAAAGUAAAUAAAAUUUAAAAUUCAGUUUCCUUGGUCACAUUAGUCACACUUCAAGUACUUACUACCCACAUGUAGCUAAUGGCUGCCCUGUUAGACAACACAGAGAACAUUCCACGUCUAUGGAAAGUUCUGUUGAACAGCACUGAUUUAGAAUGUCCCAUAGUCUGCGUCCCUCUCUGAUGUCAUCCCUGGGCAGAGAGUUCUGGCACAGUGGCCUCUCUCUGAAGGUGCGGGAGGAAGGCUGAGGAAAAAGGCCCUCCUCUCAGUGUCAGGCAGGUCUCAGUAUGACUGCUCAUUAGUUUAACUUGCCUUUUCCAUCUGCCAUCAGCCCCGAAGGACGACAACUGGACAUAAAGAAGUCAAGCUACAAAAAGGAAGGGGAGCUUUCUGGAGGGCAGUGAGGUCCGAAUGAUCGUCAUUAACUACGCCAAGAAAAAUGACCUGGUUGAUGCAGACAACAAAAAUCUUGUGAAAUUGGAUCCCAUCCUAUGUGACUGCAUCUUAGAGAAAAAUGAACAGCAUACAGUCAUGAAGCUUCCAUGGGACAGUCUUCUGACCAGGUGUUUGGAAAAAUUACAGCCUGCCUAUCAAGUGACCUUUCCCGGACAAGAGCCCAUUGUGAAGAAAGGGAGAAUCUGUCCAAUUGACAUCACCCUAGCACAAAGAGCUUCUAAUAAAAAGGUAAUUUUAAAAAGACACAAUGUUCAAGGAUAGUGAUUUAAUGUUCUUGCCAAGUUCUGGUCUCCCUAAUGUGAUUGCAGGUUUUUAGAUUGGCCUCAAACACAUCAAAGAUUUUUUUAUGAAACACCCGUGUUUAUGUGCCUGGGCUGGGCUCUGUAUGAAACAGGUAAAGCUGACCCCGCUCACUCACUGCCCUCUAGGAUUUUGUUCUAGGAAACUUGCUAGAGCCUGGUUCCAAAAGUAAACAAGAUUUUAUUUUUAUUUUUUUCUUAGAACUAUGUUAUGGACAUUCAGCUCCCACAUAUUCUUUCACCUCUUAGGCCUUGCUCAAUGUAAAUAACUUGUAAAAAACUUGCUGAAGGAACUGAGUGUGUUUAGCUUGGCAACACAAAAUUGUGGGGAACCAAUGACAUCUCUCCUCAAAUAUGUGCAAAGCUGUCCCCUGGCAAAGUAGGGCACUUAUUCUAUAUGCCUUGAAAGGACAGAAAUAGGAUUAUUGGGUGGAAAUUCCAAGAAGACAGACUUGAGUUCAAAAUAAAGAACUUUGUAGUAGUGUACAGUUACGAGCAUGGGCUUUGGAUAGUACUGGGUUCAAAUGCAGCCGUUGCCUCACUGCCUGACCUUGAGCAUGUUACUUCAUUUCUUUUUGUCUGAGUUUUACUCUGAAAAAUGGAGAUAAUACCUACCUGGUAAGGCACUGUGAGGAUCAAAUGAAGGAGUAUACGUGGCUGAAGCACUUAGAAUGUACUUGGCAUAUAAAUACUUGGUUCUCAAUAAUUGAGAACCAGUAAUGAUAACCUUUACAAUAAUUACUAAGUUACUAUUUAUUGAGUGUUUAAUUAUGUGCCAGACACCGAACUAAAUAAUUUUCAUAUAUAUAGUUUAUGUAAACACUAAUUUUCUGUUAAUAAUGACAAAUAGAAUUGUCCAAAAUCGAAAUUGGUGCUUCAUAAAAUAGUGAAUUUUUUUCUGGAGAGUCUGCAAGCAAAAAUUAGGUGAGCACUUGUCGGGGGAGGAUGUAGUUGGGGGUUCAUGCAUCAGGUGGGCAAUUGGAAGAGAUACGUCCUCUAAAGUCUUAUUGAUUCUAAGAUUUUCUGGGUCUGGAGCCCAUUGACAAGCGUAAGGCUAGUUGGAGCUUUUAUAGUCUUUAUUGAUAGCAGUCAUCCCCCACACACCCCUGAUAGUAAUACACUUUACUGUCUGCAGUCAUGAAUGAGAAAGAAUUUGUUUUAAAGCAACAAGGGGGAGAAUUGUGAUAUUUUAAAAGCACUAACAUUUUUCUUUCUUAUCUCAAAGUCACAUACUUGUCAUUUGUGAAGUUGAAUAACAGAAGAAUGCAUGUGUUGCUGACUAGAUUCUUGAUAUUAAGGAACUAUUGUUUGUUAAUUUAUUUUUAGGUGUGAUGAUGGUUUUGUUUUUAUGUUUAAAUGAGCCUUGUCUUUUGGAGAUACAUACUGAAAUAUUUAUAGAUGAAAUGAUCUGGUGUCUAGGGAGGUUUGCUUUAAAGUAAUAGAGGAGUGGGGAGUAUACAGGGGUAUAGAUGAAUCAAGGCUGGCCAUGAGUUGAUAAUUGUUGAAACUGGUGAUAGGUACAUGUGGGUUUAUAUACUAUUCUGCUUUCAUUUAUGUUUUGAAUUCUCCAAAUAAAAAAAACUUAAAAAAGAAGUAG
rnacentral:sRNA from 1 species